AAUGAACCGUUAGAGCCUGGAUCAAAGUACAGGGUUCAUGUAAGAAUCGUUACCACGACAGUGGAUGGGAAACGAAUUUUCGGAGACUCGAGUUUUGUGGCUUUCACGACAAAAACCUACUACAAAGAUGAAGCUGGAGCCCCACCAAUACAGAUUAGAGAUACCAAAGACAUUUCUUAUUCGAAUGUAGUGAUCUUUUUCA